rnacentral:rRNA from 1 species
UACGUAGGGUGCAAGCGUUAUCCGGAAUUAUUGGGCGUAAAGAGCUCGUAGGCGGUUUGUCGCGUCGACUGUGAAAACUGGGGGCUUAACUCUCAGCUUGCAGUUGAUACGGGCAGACUUGAGUUCGGUAGGGGAGACUGGAAUUCCUGGUGUAGCGGUGAAAUGCGUAGAUAUCGGGAGGAAUACCUAUGGCGAAAGCAGGCUACUGGACCGUCACUGACUCUGAUCUGCGAAAGCUAGGGGAGCAAACAGG